GGACGAACGCUGGCGGCGUGCCUAACACAUGCAAGUCGAACGAAGAAUGUUUUUCGGAAUAUUCUUAGUGGCGGACGGGUGAGUAACGCGUGAACAAUCUGCCCCGUACAAAGGGAUAGCCUCGGGAAACCGGGAUUAAAACCAUAUAACACUUAACUGCCGCAUGGUAGUGAAGUCAAAUCGAUUAAGAGGUAUGGGAUGAGUUCGCGUCUGAUUAGCUAGUUGGUGAGGUAAGGGCUCACCAAGGCGACGAUCAGUAGCCGGCCUGAGAGGGUGAACGGCCACACUGGAACUGAGACACGGUCCAGACUCCUACGGGAGGCAGCAGUGGGGAAUAUUGCACAAUGGAGGGAACUCUGAUGCAGCGACGCCGCGUGAGUGAAGAAGGUCUUCGGAUCGUAAAACUCUGUCCUUGGUGAAGAAAAGGACGGUAGCCAAGGAGGAAGCCCCGGCUAACUACGUGCCAGCAGCCGCGGUAAUACGUAGGGGGCGAGCGUUGUCCGGAUUUACUGGGCGUAAAGGGUGAGUAGGCGGUUAUAUAUGUCAGGUGUAAAAAGCUAUGGCUUAANNCAUAGUAAGCACUUGAAACUGUAUGACUUGAGUGCAGGAGAGGUAAGCGGANUUCCUAGUGUAGCGGUGAAAUGCGUAGAUAUUAGGAGGAACACCGGUGGCGAAGGCGGCUUACUGGACUGUAACUGACGCUGAGUCACGAAAGCGUGGGUAGCAAACAGGAUUAGAUACNNNGGUAGUCCACGCUGUAAACGAUGAGUGCUAGGUGUUGGGUAGCGAUAUUCAGUGCCGGAGUAAACACAAUAAGCACUCCGCCUGGGGAGUACGGUCGCAAGACUGAAACUCAAAGGAAUUGACGGGGACCCGCACAAGCAGCGGAGCAUGUGGUUUAAUUCGAAGCAACGCGAAGAACCUUACCAAGGCUUGACAUCCCCUUGACAGAUGCAGAGAUGUAUCCUCCUCUUUUGAGGCAAGGGAGACAGGUGGUGCAUGGUUGUCGUCAGCUCGUGUCGUGAGAUGUUGGGUUAAGUCCCGCAACGAGCGCAACCCUUAUCCUUAGUUGCCAGCAUUUAAGGUGGGCACUCUAAGGAGACUGCCGGUGAUAAACCGGAGGAAGGUGGGGAUGACGUCAAAUCAUCAUGCCCCUUAUGUCUUGGGCUACACACGUGCUACAAUGGUCGGUACAACGGGCAGCUAUGGAGCGAUCCGGAGCAAAUCCCAAUAAACCGAUCCCAGUUCGGAUUGCAGGCUGCAACUCGCCUGCAUGAAGUCGGAGUUGCUAGUAAUCGCGAAUCAGAACGUCGCGGUGAAUGCGUUCCCGGGUCU
rnacentral:rRNA from 1 species